rnacentral:tRNA from 1 species
GCGCCCGUAGCUCAUUGGAUAGAUUUAAGUGGCUACGGGCAAAAGGGUCAGGAGUUCGAAUCUCUUCGGGCGCGCCA